UGUCGACUCAAAUGAUUUAAAAAAAAUAUGAUAUCAGUUUGAGGCUUGUAUCAUCCAACGAUGGAAUCAAUCUGCAAACAGCUGUUGGAGAUUGUUCAAUGUGAUUUGGGAGAGACUUGACUGCUAUUUCUAGCAGGCCGAAUAAUGACGUAAGAAGUUCCCUUGCUGGAUCGUAAAUAUAAUACAAGAUCCAGUAAUGUCAUUCACGAAACAAGAGGUCAUUUUGCAUACUAGAAUACGCUAAAACUGCAUCAAGAACACGUGUUCAACGCACAUUUCGUACAACGUUUACCAAGCAGGUACCAGACAGGCGUUCUAUUUUGAAUUGGCAUGCAAAAUUUAAGGAGGAGGGGUGUUUGUACCUGGCAAAGAGAACAGGGUACCUUUCAACUUCAAAUGAAACAGUUGAACAAGUUCGGCAAGCUUUCUUGCGCAGCCCCCAGAAAUCAGUUAGAAUAGCCAAUCGAGAAUUUCAGUCCCUGUCAACAACUGUUUGGCGCAUCUUCAGGAGACAGCUGCAGUUUACACUAUACAAGCUGCAAUUAGUUCGACAGUUGAAGGACACAGAUAGACCUAUUCGCCAAUCAGAGUAGUGGACAUAACAGGGUCCAAAG